rnacentral:rRNA from 1 species
UACGGAGGGUGCAAGCGUUAGCCGGAUUCACUGGGUUUAAAGGGUGCGUAGGUGGGUAAGUAAGUCAGUGGUGAAAUCUCCGGGCUUAACCCGGAAACUGCCAUUGAUACUAUUUGUCUUGAAUACUGUGGAGGUCAGCGGAAUAUGUCAUGUAGCGGUGAAAUGCUUAGAUAUGACAUAGAACACCAAUUGCGAAGGCAGCUGGCUACACAAAUAUUGACACUGAGGCACGAAAGCGUGGGGAUCAAACAGG